rnacentral:lncRNA from 1 species
AAAAACUCUCUCCUUUCCUAGACGUCCGGCCUCUAGUCCGGUCAUCGGCCGGCCGCCGAUCUCCAGCGCUGGCACCGCCGUUUGCGGUGGUCGAAAAUGGGGAAAAUCCCCUAUUCGGUUCCUUUGGCCUCUCUAAACCCAAAUCUGGGCUCAAAUCAUUCAAAAACCGCCAGAAAAACCUCAAAAUCCCUUGGGACCCCUUGACUUCCGUUCGUCUAUCCUCGGAGACGAGCCUCAGCUGCCCCAACGGCGUUUCAAAAGGCGAAAGUAAGUUUUACUUUCUUGUUUUAUUUUAUUUCAAUAACACAAAAUAAAAAAAAAAGAAAUAACAAAAGAAAUAAAAAAAAACAACCUUUUGGUGUUCCGAUUGGUUCUCUGUUUUUGCGAAAAUAAUAGCCCCUUUUUUAUUGAUUUCUUUUCCAAUCCUACCUACAGUCUAUUUAAUGGCUUUUUAUAGCCAUUCUCCAACAAUAUAAAGAAACGAAUCUAUUUACAUCUAUUUGAUCUGCAAAUCUUUUUCUUUCCAUAUACUGUUGUUCUCUUUCUUGGUGUGCAGGUCCGGAGAUCAACUCAUGCGGGGCUAGGUGGCUGCGGCGCUGUUGAAACCCUAGGGUUUCUGACUGUAAUUUGGGCCACUGUAGUUUGGGCCAUUGUUAUUGUAUUUUUGGUUUGGGUUUUGGGCCUAAAAAACUAUUGUAUUUGGACUGUCUUGCUUCAUGUAGGCCGGGCAAAUUUGACCAAUUACACAUAUAUAUCACAACUAUAUCAUAAAUAAUUAUUAAAUAGCAUAUAAAGAUAUGGGUAAUAAAAUUAACUUGUCAGCCAAGGUUUCG